UCACUUCGAACCCUAAAUUCAACUCUUAUCUCUCAAUACCGCCACCACUAUCAACGAUCAACUUCAUGCCACCUAUGGAAGGUCAAACCACCACUUUCCGGCCACCAUAGCCACCGGAUCAUAGUACCAACUUGAAGCCCGCAAUGUUGUCUACAAACCCCACCCAACAGUUGGCCCUAAUUCCGGCCAGUCUGGCCGAAAAUUCUGCUCAAAAUUAGCCAGUCGACCACCGAAAUCAACCAUCGCACCAUCGAAAUUUCUGCUAAAAAUCAACCACCGCACCACCACGACACAACCAUCAAC
rnacentral:lncRNA from 1 species